GGUAUUUUGACUAUACGAAGGUAUUGAAAUAAGGUUUUAAAUGAGCGCUAAGAGAAUGGUUUAACGAUUAUAAGCUUUCUUUAUUUAAAAAAUUGAAUUUAAUUUUUUUGUGCAGAAGCAAACAUUUAUUUUAGGGACAAGAAGACCCUAUGAAUUUUGAAUUUAAUUUAUUUAUUUUUAAUAUAAGUUAAAUUUGAUUGGGGCGAUAGAAAAAGAAUAAGUAUCUUUAUUUUAAUUAAAAAAGUUCCGUUAUUAACGAUUAAAUGGAAAAAAUACUCUAGGGAUAACAGCGUAAUAAUUUUGGAAAGUUCUUAUUGAUAAAAUAGUUUGCGACCUCGAUGUUGGAUUAGGAUUCUUUUUUGGUGAAGAAGUUAAAAAAAGAAGUUUGUUCAACUUUUAAAUUCCUACUUGAUCUGAGUU
rnacentral:rRNA from 1 species